GGCUCUCCACGAGUUCAUGAAGUCU
rnacentral:piRNA from 1 species